rnacentral:rRNA from 1 species
AGAGUUUGAUCAUGGCUCAGAUUGAACGCUGGCGGCAUGCCUUACACAUGCAAGUCGAACGGCAGCACGGGGGCAACCCUGGUGGCGAGUGGCGAACGGGUGAGUAACAUAUCGGAACGUGCCCUGGAGUGGGGGAUAACUAGUCGAAAGACUAGCUAAUACCGCAUACGAUCUACGGAUGAAAGUGGGGGACCGCAAGGCCUCAUGCUCGUGGAGCGGCCGAUAUCUGAUUAGCUAGUUGGUGGGGUAAAGGCCUACCAAGGCAUCGAUCAGUAGCUGGUCUGAGAGGACGACCAGCCACACUGGGACUGAGACACGGCCCAGACUCCUACGGGAGGCAGCAGUGGGGAAUUUUGGACAAUGGGCGCAAGCCUGAUCCAGCAAUGCCGCGUGAGUGAAGAAGGCCUUCGGGUUGUAAAGCUCUUUUGUCAGGGAAGAAACGGCGGGGACUAAUAUUUCCUGCUAAUGACGGUACCUGAAGAAUAAGCACCGGCUAACUACGUGCCAGCAGCCGCGGUAAUACGUAGGGUGCAAGCGUUAAUCGGAAUUACUGGGCGUAAAGCGUGCGCAGGCGGUUGUGCAAGACCGAUGUGAAAUCCCCGGGCUUAACCUGGGAAUGGCAUUGGUGACUGUACGGCUAGAGUGUGUCAGAGGGGGGUAGAAUUCCACGUAGCAGUGAAAUGCGUAGAGAUGUGGAGGAAUACCGAUGGCGAAGGCAGCCCCCUGGGAUAACACUGACGCUCAUGCACGAAAGCGUGGGGAGCAAACAGGAUUAGAUACCCUAGUAGUCC